UGGGUGGGGAUGGACAGGUGUCUUUCUGUCUUUAGUUGGAGCCACCAUGGGUCGUGAUGACCUGAUUGAUAGGUGGUGAAGCAUGCCCAGCAAGUACAUGCUGGUCAGUACCAGAUGGGUACUGUGCACACUGGCCCUUGUCACUUGGCUGCUGAUGGCUGCGGAUGCCAGGAUAGAGUGGCUGUGCAUGAGCAGGGCAGCACAUGACAAGUACAGUCGAUUCAUUUUGUGAUGCUAAUCUUUAAGGAAAGAUGGUUUCUACGGUUGCUGUAUAGAAAGCAGCGUGGGCAUACCACAGCCCGUGGGCGUGCUCAGCCCGAAGCCCGUCCUUGUAGGGCCUGAGAGCUGAGGAUGCUUUUUACAUUUUUAAACAGUUGGAAAAACUCAAAGAAUACUGUUUUGUGACACAUGAGCAUUAUAUGAAAUACAAAUUUCUGUGCCCAUCAAUAAAGUUUUAUUGGAAUACAGCCAUGCACA